rnacentral:rRNA from 1 species
GAACAUGGGGGGACCAUCCUCCAAGGCUAAAUACUCCUGACUGACCGAUAGUGAACCAGUACCGUGAGGGAAAGGCGAAAAGAACCCCUGUGAGGGGAGUGAAAUAGAACCUGAAACCGUGCACGUACAAGCAGUGGAAGCCGACUUGUUCGGUGACUGCGUACCUUUUGUAUAAUGGGUCAGCGACUUACUUUUAGUAGCAAGGUUAACCGUAUAGGGGAGCCGUAGGGAAACCGAGUCUUAACUGGGCGCUAAGUUGCUAGGAGUAGACCCGAAACCCGGUGAUCUAGCCAUGGGCAGGUUGAAGGUUGAGUAACAUCAACUGGAGGACCGAACCCACUAACGUUGCAAAGUUAGGGGAUGACCUGUGGCUGGGGGUGAAAGGCCAAUCAAACCGGGAGAUAGCUGGUUCUCCCCGAAAGCUAUUUAGGUAGCGCCUCGGACGAAUACUACUGGGGGUAGAGCACUGUUUGGGCUAGGGGGUCAUCCCGACUUACCAACCCCAUGCAAACUCCGAAUACCAGUAAGUACUAUCCGGGAGACACACGGCGGGUGCUAACGUCCGUCGUGAAGAGGGAAACAACCCAGACCGCCGGCUAAGGUCCCCAAGUUCUGGUUAAGUGGGAAACGAGGUGGGAAGGCUCAGACAGCCAGGAUGUUGGCUUAGAAGCAGCCAUCAUUUAAAGAAAGCGUAAUAGCUCACUGGUCGAG